AUCUUUUUGAGCUUAUUUACACUUGCACUCCUUAAUAGAGGAGUAGUCAGCCCACUAUGUUGCGAGAAUUUUAGGCACAUUCUUUGUAAACCUAAAGCCCAAAGACUUGUUGUUCACUUAGAAAGUCAAGCACGAGAGAUAGUUGCCGACCCCUACCAUAUUUCAGAGAAGACAACGCCACCGAAUAAGAAAAGCUACUCACGUCACUGUAUCGGGAGAAGCUUAACGUUACCGGAGAAUAAGGGACCUAGGAAAAGAGGAACACUGCUGACUCCAUUUCCCUGUUCGCACUCCUAGUACCUGGUUUGCAUGAUCUUUGAGGUGCCCAGUUUCUUUUUCAAUCUGAUUAGGCCUCGUUCUCCAAGAGUAUAGGCAUUUGUUCAUCCCUGUUUCCUUCUGAUCUGUGACUAGGCUCAUGUCUCCCAAGAAAUCAAGAACUUUAAGGAAGAGGAAGGAGUUGAUUAUGUUGGGAAUAGUGACCUGAAAGAAAUUGUAGUUGACAAAUGUUUUAAAUGAAAUAAAUAAUUGAAUUGAAUUAUUAUAUA